GGAUUGCCUCAGUAACGGCGAGUGAAGCGGCAUGAGCCCAAAUUUGAAAUCCAGCUCCGCAUGGGGUUCGAGUUGUAAUUUGGAGAGGAUGCUUUGGCGACGGCCCCGGGGGCAGUGCCCUGGAACGGGACGCCACAGAGGGUGAGAGCCCCGUACCACUCGGUGGACCGCCGCCGUACGAAGCGCCUUCGACGAGUCGAGUUGUUUGGGAAUGCAGCUCUAAGCGGGAGGUAAAUUUCUUCUAAGGCUAAAUACCGGCCAGAGACCGAUAGCGCACAAGUAGAGUGAUCGAAAGAUGAAAAGCACUUUGGAAAGAGAGUUAAAAAGCACGUGAAAUUGUUGAAAGGGAAGCUCUUGCUGCCAGACGUGCCGCGACCGCUCAGCCGCCCCCCGGGGUGGUGUACUCGGUCGCGGCGGGCCAGCGUCGGUUCGGGCGGUCGGACAAAGGCCUGGGGAACGUAGCCCCCCGCGGGGGGUGUUAUAGCCUCGGGCGUCAUGCGGCCAGCCUGGAUCGAGGGCCGCGUUCGCGAGGACGCUGGCGUAAUGGUCGCAAGCGACCCGUCUUGAAACACGGACCAAGGAGUCUAACAUCUGUGCGAGUGUUCGGGUGUCAAACCCGUGCGCGUAAUGAAAGUGAACGGAGGUGGGACCCCUCACGGGCGCACCAUCGACCGAUCCUGAUGUCCUCGGAUGGAUUUGAGUAGGAGCAUGGCUGUUGGGACCCGAAAGAUGGUGAACUAUGCGUGUUUAGGGUGAAGCCAGAGGAAACUCUGGUGGAGGCUCGCAGCGGUUCUGACGUGCAAAUCGAUCGUCAAAAAUGCGUAUAGGGGCGAAAGACCAAUCGAACCAUGAGCCUUCGGCUUCCCAGUCCACUAGGUGGUUGAGAGGCGUCCCCCCAAUAGGAGGGUGCGUCUAGUCGCGGGGCCCCCCUUGAAGGGGGGGUCCGCUAGGCGAUGUUAUCAAACUGCAGGGACCCCUCGAUCAAUUGCAAGCUACCGCCCCCCCGGGGGGCACCGGCGCUGGGGGCGUCGGGGACGGUAAGAACGCUUGCGGUUGGAGGCGACCUGCAGCCACGCCUCCGCGCUCACCGGCGCGGGGCUCAGUCCACAGGCUAUACGGUGAUGGACGGGGGCGUGACCCCCCGUCGAAGAUAUAGUCGACCCCCCGGCGUGAGCCGGGGCCAUGCCACCCCCCGGGACCGCGUGGGGGGGGGUGCGCCAGGCGGAACGCACAGCCAUUGCUAGUAGCUGGUUCCUGCCGAAGUUUCCCUCAGGAUAGCAGUAACGUAUUCAGUUUUAUGAGGUAAAGCGAAUGAUUAGAGGCCUUGGGGUUGAAACAACCUUAACCUAUUCUCAAACUUUAAAUAUGUAAGAAGCCCUUGUUGCUUAAGUGAACGUGGGCCGUCGAAUGCACCGUUACUAGUGGGCCAUUUUUGGUAAGCAGAACUGGCGAUGCGGGAUGAACCGAACGCGAGGUUAAGGUGCCGGACUGCACGCUCAUCAGACCCCACAAAAGGUGUUAGUUCAUCCAGACAGCCGGACGGUGGCCAUGGAAGUCGGAAUCCGCUAAGGAGUGUGUAACAACUCACCGGCCGAAUGAACUAGCCCUGAAAAUGGAUGGCGCUCAAGCGUGCGACCCAUACCUCGCCGCCGGGGCAGGACCGACGCCCCGGCGAGUAGGCAGGCGCGGAGGCCCGUGACGAAGCCUCGGGGGUGACCCCGGGUCGAACGGCCUCUGGUGC
rnacentral:rRNA from 1 species